CAUGCAAGUCGAGGGGCAGCAUGGUCUUAGCUUGCUAAGGCCGAUGGCGACCGGCGCACGGGUGAGUAACGCGUAUCCAACCUGCCUUACACUCUUGGACAGCCUUCUGAAAGGGAGAUUAAUACAAGAUGUUAUCAUGAGUAAGCAUUUUCGCAUGAUUAAAGGUUUACCGGUGUAAGAUGGGGAUGCGUUCCAUUAGAUAGUAGGCGGGGUAACGGCCCACCUAGUCUUCGAUGGAUAGGGGUUCUGAGAGGAAGGUCCCCCACAUUGGAACUGAGACACGGUCCAAACUCCUACGGGAGGCAGCAGUGAGGAAUAUUGGUCAAUGGACGAGAGUCUGAACCAGCCAAGUAGCGUGAAGGAUGAAGGUUCUAUGGAUUGUAAACUUCUUUUAUACGGGAAUAAACGGAUCCACGUGUGGAUUUCUGCAUGUACCGUAUGAAUAAGGAUCGGCUAACUCCGUGCCAGCAGCCGCGGUAAUACGGAGGAUCCGAGCGUUAUCCGGAUUUAUUGGGUUUAAAGGGAGCGUAGAUGGGUUGUUAAGUCAGUUGUGAAAGUUUGCGGCUCAACCGUAAAAUUGCAAUUGAUACUGGCAGUCUUGAGUGCAGUAGAGGUGGGCGGAAUUCGUGGUGUAGCGGUGAAAUGCUUAGAUAUCACGAAGAACUCCGAUUGCGAAGGCAGCUCACUGGAGUGUAACUGACGCUGAUGCUCGAAAGUGUGGGUAUCAAACAGGAUUAGAUACCCUGGUAGUCCACACAGUAAACGAUGAAUACUCGCUGUUUGCGAUAUACAGUAAGCGGCCAAGCGAAAGCAUUAAGUAUUCCACCUGGGGAGUACGCCGGCAACGGUGAAACUCAAAGGAAUUGACGGGGGCCCGCACAAGCGGAGGAACAUGUGGUUUAAUUCGAUGAUACGCGAGGAACCUUACCCGGGCUUAAAUUGCAAAUGAAUUAUGGGGAAACCCAUACGCCGCAAGGCAUUUGUGAAGGUGCUGCAUGGUUGUCGUCAGCUCGUGCCGUGAGGUGUCGGCUUAAGUGCCAUAACGAGCGCAACCCUUAUCUUCAGUUACUAACAGGUCAUGCUGAGGACUCUGGAGAGACUGCCGUCGUAAGAUGUGAGGAAGGUGGGGAUGACGUCAAAUCAGCACGGCCCUUACGUCCGGGGCUACACACGUGUUACAAUGGGGGGUACAGAAGGCCGCUACCUGGUGACAGGAUGCCAAUCCCAAAAACCUCUCUCAGUUCGGAUCGAAGUCUGCAACCCGACUUCGUGAAGCUGGAUUCGCUAGUAAUCGCGCAUCAGCCAUGGCGCGGUGAAUACGUUCCCGGGCCUUGUACACACCGCCCGUCAAGCCAUGAAAGCCGGGGGUACCUGAAGUACGUAACCGCAAGGAGCGUCCUAGGGUAAAACUGGUAAUUGGGGCUAAGUCAUAA
rnacentral:rRNA from 1 species